CUACGUGCCAGCAGCCGCGGUAAUACGUAUGUCACAAGCGUUAUCCGGAUUUAUUGGGCGUAAAGCGCGUCUAGGUGGUUAUGUAAGUCUGAUGUGAAAAUGCAGGGCUCAACUCUGUAUUGCGUUGGAAACUGUAUGACUAGAGUACUGGAGAGGUAAGCGGAACUACAAGUGUAGAGGUGAAAUUCGUAGAUAUUUGUAGGAAUGCCGAUGGGGAAGCCAGCUUACUGGACAGAUACUGACGCUAAAGCGCGAAAGCGUGGGUAGCAAACAGGAUUAGAUACCCUGGUAGUCCACGCCGUAAACGAUGAUUACUAGGUGUUGGGGGUCGAACCUCAGCGCCCAAGCAAACGCGAUAAGUAAUCCGCCUGGGGAGUACGUACGCAAGUAUGAAACUCAAAGGAAUUGACGGGGACCCGCACAAGCGGUGGAGCAUGUGGUUUAAUUCGACGCAACGCGAGGAACCUUACCAGCGUUUGACAUC
rnacentral:rRNA from 1 species